ensembl:snoRNA SNORA73 Small nucleolar RNA SNORA73 family
CCUUGUGGCUGUCUGGGAGGUCAUUCUCCCUGGGCUUUAUGGGGGUGGUUCAGGGAAGCACAGAGCUCUGCCUGUGAUGUACAGUCCUUUUCCAUGAAGGUGGAGAUGAAGGUGGGCUGCAUAUUAUUACAGCUUCUCUGAGUCCUUUCGGACUAUGACCAAGGAGACAAAUCAGGUUGAAAACAUGU